AACGCACGAGACCUGCGGACCUGCGGAGGGAUCAUUAAUGAGAAGCUGCCCCUCGUGGGUAGACCUCCCACCCUCUGUGAACUUACCUUUGUUGCUUUGGCAGGCCCGUCCUCUGGACCGCCGGCUUCGGCUGGCCCGUGCCUGCCAGAGGAUUCCAAACCCUGUCUGUCAGUAUUGUCUGAGUCUAUAUGAAAUCGUUAAAACUUUCAGCAAUGGAUCUCUAGAUCGGAAGAGCACACG
rnacentral:misc_RNA from 1 species